AGGACUUGGGUCAGGUGGGGCCUUCUCGUGCUGCUGGGACGAGGAGGAGCUGCUCUCCAGCCUUGGAAAGCCCAGGCAAGUCCCUCCCCAAAAUUCGUUUGCCCUUCAUUUGUCACAAAGGAGCCAGAGGCUCAGUGGCAGGAACCCCGCUGCUUCCAUUUGACUGCACGAGGCAGUAGAUGAGAUUCCUGUCUGCUGCAUGGAAGAUCCCCAGUGAUAUCAGCUAGAUAUGCGAGAGGGAGCUGGGGGAAUAUUUCUGCCUUUAUUUAUUGGAGUGGAAGACGUCGCACGCUGUUGUAGUAAGACGCAUAAUGUCUCCUUACUCUCACACUUGCUCUCUUCUGAUGACUUGUAACAAAUCACACAAAGGGUAUUUCCAUGAGGAGGGACUGUUGCUGGCCUGCACCCAACAGCACUGGGUGAAACAUCCGUGGAGCCUCCCUGCUGGUGGAGCUGAGUGCGGGUUUGGGCUCUGCAUCCCCAGGCGAUGCUCCUGCACAUGUUCAAACCAGCAGCAGCUCCUUCCACGGGUUUGUGCUUGGUGAGCUGAUGCCAGGGAGGAAGGUGAGCUGCAGCAGAGAUGAAAUAUCACGCAGCACAGCAUAACGUUGCUCGCUUGACAUUGCAGAGCCUGGAACCUGUUGGUCCCUCUGG